rnacentral:rRNA from 1 species
CCCUUAGAGUUUGAUCCUGGCUCAGGAUGAACGCUGGCGGCGUGCUUAACACAUGCAAGUCGAACGGGGCGCUCAUGACGGAGGAUUCGUCCAACGGAUUGAGUUACCUAGUGGCGGACGGGUGAGUAACGCGUGAGGAACCUGCCUUGGAGAGGGGAAUAACACUCCGAAAGGAGUGCUAAUACCGCAUAAUGCAGUUGGGUCGCAUGGCUCUGACUGCCAAAGAUUUAUCGCUCUGAGAUGGCCUCGCGUCUGAUUAGCUAGUAGGCGGGGUAACGGCCCACCUAGGCGACGAUCAGUAGCCGGACUGAGAGGUUGACCGGCCACAUUGGGACUGAGACACGGCCCAGACUCCUACGGGAGGCAGCAGUGGGGAAUAUUGGGCAAUGGGCGCAAGCCUGACCCAGCAACGCCGCGUGAAGGAAGAAGGCUUUCGGGUUGUAA